CAUGUCUACAAGCUACUCUCUGAGUGGUGGCAAAACUGGAAAGUAAGAAAAAAAAAGAUAAAUAGUUUGCCUUCAGUGCAAAAGUUAUGCCUUUUGAAAUCUGGAUGCAAAUUUUGUUAGCACUUGGCUGGUAGCUGGCAAUCCACAGCUUUCUUGCAAACUCCUGGUAACUGCGGCAAUCUUCUAGAAUCCACGGCAAUCAUAAAGAUGGCUUUGUGGCACAGCACACUUUGUGAUCAAUUUCACCAGCUUCUACUGAAAUCCUGCAUAAAAAACAGCUCCCUGGCCACAGGAGACAGUUGCCUAAGCAACGCUUCCAAGGUAAGCUAAUGGAUUAAAGAGUGUGUGCAUGUAUUUUUGUAUGUGUUUGUGAAGUGUGGGGCAAUCAUUCUAGCGGUGGCAGAGAAUCGCAGCAGCAUGCCAUUAACACAUAAACCCUAUUGAUCUUCAAGGC